rnacentral:rRNA from 1 species
ACUUUCAACGGUGGAUCUCUUGGCUCGUGCAUCGAUGAAGAACGUGGCAAGACGCGAAAUGUAGUGUGAAUUGCAGAAUUCCGUGAAUCAUUGAAUCUUCGAACGCACAUUGCGCCUGUGUGUGUGGGCAUGCGCCAUUGUGUGCGUGUCUGUGCGUGCGGGCAUGUCUGCCUGAGUGUCGCCACUCAAUCUCAUUGACAAUGCGUUUUUGUGUGCUUACGAGUGUGUGAGUGUUUGUGUGGGUGUAUUUGAUUACUGCAACUAUGCAGCAGCAGCAGCAGCGCACCUUUGUUGGUGUGGUGAUGCUUGUUGUGUAGCAGUAUGAGGAAGCGCCCAUGCAUCAUGUACUCGUAUCCCAUUAUUGCACUGUGCAUUGUUGGUGGCCAUGGGGUGUUAGUCGAUGCGGUGCACACACACAUUUUUGCUGUGUGUGUGUAUUGUGUGAGACUGGACUCUGAAGAGGAGAGCUUACGACUCCAUUGCGAUGAUGAUGGUGAUAGUGACUGUGACGAAGAAGGAGUGGGUGUUUGUGUGUGUGAGCAUGUGGAUUGCAUUGCACGAUGAUACGAUGCCUUGUGCGUUGUGUUGUUGCAGUUGAUGUGAUUCACACACACACACAUCCCACUUCUAUUCUCAUACUGUUGUCAUCACUCACUGUCGCUGUGUGGGUGCCGUUGUUGCGAGACCACGGCAAGCACGCGCAUGCUGUAUCUGCAUAUGCAGCAGGAUACACCAAGCUGUGGAGCGAUGUGUCAACUGGCAUCGUUGUUCUGCAGGGUGUGUAUGCUGUGUGUGUGUGUGAAGAGGCAUGUGCACUUGUGUGCUUGCAUCUUUAUGUGGCUUUUGUGACACUGGUCAUGUGAGCAAAAACACUGAUGAAGAAGAGAGGGAACAUGUGUGAGAGAGAAAGGAAAGCUGGAAUAGUGGUGGACGGAGCACUGUUUGUGUGCAUAGCACUGCACUUGUUGCAGUGUAUGCGCACAGACCACUGCAUCCAUCCACACCACUCCACUCCACUUUUUCACCCUCUCAAACCCCUUCCCCUCCUCUACUCAUUCUCAUUGUUGACCUCAGGUCAGGCAAGGGUACCCCCUGAACUUAAGCAUAUCACUAAGGGGAGGAAGAGAAACUAACAAGGAUUCCCUCAGUAACGGCGAGUGAAGCGGGAAGAGCUCAAGCAUUGGAAUCUCCACAAGCUUCUUUUUUGUGGCGAGUUGUAGUCUUUAUGGGAUGCGGGCCGUCGCAUGUCUUUGUGAUGGUGCACAGCUUUUGUUGUGCAUUGUUGUUUGGCGCAGCACCGAGUUUCCUUGGAAGAGGACACCGGAGAGGGUGAGAGUCCCGCUGGUGCUAGUUUAUUUGCGCUGAUGUGCGGUGUGUGGUCCGUUUAUUCUCUUGAGUCGGGUUGUUUGGGAAUGCAGCCCAAAGCCGGGUGGUAAACUGCAUCCAAGGCUAAAUACUGGCACGAGACCGAUAGCGAACAAGUACCGUGAGGGAAAGAUGAAAAGCACUUUGAAAAGAGAGUUAAACAGUACGUGAAACCGUUGACAGAGAAUCGCUUGCAGCUAGCAGAGACUGGGCGCGCCUUGUGAUCAGGGUUUUUGGUGUGGUGUGUGAUGACGGUGCGGGGGGUGUAUUGUGUGCACUUGUUGCACAUAUGCGCCGCUGCGUUGCUGUUGUUGUGUGCUGCGCUGCCUGCACUCGCGGGGCGUGUCUGCCAGCAUGAGUUUUGUGUGUGAGAGACGGCGAUGCGAGGGCGCCCUUGUGCGUGGCGCAUCUGCUUUUUUAUGUUUCUGUCGCACGUGGGACUGAGGAAAUUAUCGAUGCGGUGGCUUUGUUAUGUGGUCUUUGGCAUGGGUGCUGUUUUCGGCAUUGUGUUGCGCAGACUCUUGUUUUGGGAUGAGAGACUCGUUCUCUUGUGCUGUUGACAGAGUGUGUGCGGGCAGUGUUGGGAAUGUUGCGCUUGCCGCUUGGCGCACACCACCGGGGAGAUGCUGGCGACAGGGCUGCAAACGGCCCGUCUUGAAACACGGACCAAGGAGUCUAACAUGUGCGCGAGUGUUUUAGCGAGCAUGAAGCUAGGGCGCGCAAUGAAAGUGAGAGGUGGGAUGCAGUGUUGGGAAGUGUGCGUGAGUACACUUUUAACAGCAGCACUCGCAGCACCAUCGACCGAUCUGGAUUGGGGGAGGGGAAAGGGGUGUGCGGUGGCUCCACCCUCCUCCGCUGAAGGAUUUGCGUUUUAGCGCAGAUGUUAGGACCCGAUAGAUGGUGAACUAUGCCUGAGUAGGGCGAAGCCAGAGGAAACUCUGGUGGAGGCUCGUAGCGAUCAUGACGUGCAAAUCUGUCGUCGAACUUGGGUAUAGGGGCGAAAGACUCAUCGAACCAUCUAGUAGCUGGUUCCCACCGAAGUUUCCCUCAGGAUAGCUGAGACUUAUUUUAUGAUCUUUUGGUUAGUUUUAUCUGGUAAAGCGAAUGAUUAGAGGCCUUGGGGGAGCCACUUCCCUCAACCUAUUCUCAAACUUUAAAUGGGUAAGGCGGCGCGCUUUCUUUGUUUAUGAAGCGGGCAAUGCUGAAUAACCGAGUCUCAAGUGGGCCAUUUUUGGUAAGCAGAACUGGCGAUGCGGGAUGAACCGAACGCGGAGUUAGGGUGCCGGAAUCGACGCUCAUGAGAACCCACAAAAGGUGUUGGUUGAUAUAGACAGCAGGACGGUGGCCAUGGAAGUCGGAAUCCGCUAAGGAGUGUGUAACAACUCACCUGCCGAAUCAACUAGCCCUGAAAAUGGAUGGCGCUCAAGCGUCGUACCUAUACUCCGCUGUGUGUGGAAGAGAGCGAGCGAAGCGAGCAUUCGUGCUUGUUGCGUCUCAAAACUACAUGUAGCCACACACAAGUAGGUGGGCGUGGAGGUGUUUGCGUGAGAGCAAUCUUUUUGCCGUGGAAGCCUGUGGCGUGAGCCUGGGUGGAGGGGCCUCCAGUGCAGAUCUUGGUGACAGUAGCAACGAUUCAAAUGAGAGCUUUGAAGACUGAAGUGGAGCAAGGUUCCGUGGGAACAGCAGUUGGCCACGGGUGAGUCGGUCCUAAGAGAUGGGGCAGUCCUGUGUCAAGUGGGGAGUUGUUGCGUGUGUGUGGGUGGUGGUGAUAUUAUCGCCAUGCUUGCACACGUGUUGAAUACCCCAGUCCAUCGAAAGGGAACCAGGUUAAGAUUCCUGGACCAACGCACGCCACAAAGAAUGUUUUGAUAGAGCAGCGGCAACGCGUACAAACUCGGAGACGCUGCCGGGGGCCCUGGAAAGAGUUUUCUUUUCUUUUUAACGAGCUGCAUUGUGGGGGGGAGUAGGGGGAAGAGUGUUAGUUUAUUCUGCGCUCUUCAACCUUCCUCGUCGCAUUCUCUGACCCUGGAAUCAGUUUGGCUGGAGAUGGGGUGAGAGGCUCGGCAAAGCACCACUGACCUCUUUUUGUUGUGGUGUCCGGCGCGUUCCCGGCGGUCCAUGAAAAUCCGAGGGUGUGAAUGGUAGCAGUGUGGGGGGAAGAAGAGAAGCACUUGUGCUAAUCUAUUUUCUCCGCUGCAUGUGGGCGUGGUUGGCCGUACUGAUAACCGCAGCAGGUCUCCAAGGUGAAGAGCCUCUAGUUUGAUAGACGAAUGUAGGUAAGGGAAGUCGGCAAAAUAGAUCCGUAAGCUCGCGAUAAGGAUUGGCUCAAGAGGUUGAUUGUGUGUGUGGGUGUGGGGGUGAAAGGGGGUGUGCUUGCAUGCCGUUCUUGCACCUCUACAUUCUGCGCACACUAUUUUUUAGCAACCGAUCUUGAACUGGUACGGACAAGGGGAAUCCGACUGUUUACUUAAAACAAAGCAUUGCGAGGAUAGGCUGUUGCGACGGUGUAGACGCAAUGUGAUUUCUGCCCAGUGCUCAGAAUGUCAACGUGAAGAAAUUCAAGCCAAGCGCGGGAUCAACGGCGGAAGUAACUAUGACUUUCUUAAGGUAGCCAAAUGCCUCGUCAUUUAACUGGUGACGCGCAUGAAUGGAUUAACGAGAUUCCCACUGUCCCUAUCUACGCUCUAGCGAAACCGCAGCCAAGGGAACGGACUUGGCACAAUCAGCGGGGAAAGAAGACCCGCUAGAGCUUGACUCUAGUCCGACCGUGUUAGGGUUAGAGAGGUGUAGCAUAGGUGGGAGCAAAUGCAUUAAAUUGUGCUUGCGGCCUUGAAAUACCACUACUCUGGUCGUUUUUUUGCUUAUUGAAUGACACGGGGCUGGUGUGGGUGAUUGUGGUGUGCGUAGCGCGCAUUUCUUGUGUGAGCUGUGCGCACCCGAUCACACAUGUGCACCAUUUCUGGAGAAAGGGAGGGCAGCGUGGAGUGCUUCUUGCGCUUCAUGUUAUGCCGAUCCCGACCCGCUUUCAAGACGAGGUCAGGUGGGGAGUUUGGCUGGGGCGGCACAUCUGUAAAACGAUAACGCAGGUGUCCCAAGGUGAGCUCAAUGAGAACGGAAAUCUCAUGUGGAGUAAAAGGACAAAAGCUCACUUGAUUUUGUGAUUUUCAGGAUGAAUACAAACUGUGAAAGCAUGGCCUAUCGAUCCUUUAGUCGCGGCGGAUAAGAGUGAACAACGCACUCGUGCGUCUAAGCUCCCAUUCUGCACUGCGCCUGUUGACAGCUUCAACCUAGAGGUGUCCGAAAAGUUACCGGCGGCUCUGGCAACCAGGGGAUAUUCCUCGUUGCCUUGGUUAUAUCUAUACCAUCGUGUAAAUGAUCAUAUCCCUCACUUGUUUAUUCCAUACACACACACACACACACACACACACACACACACACUCACGCGUCAAAGCCAAAGCUGUAGUGGUAUGAACGCAUGGACGAUUCAGCAGCAGGACGCAAACACUUUGGGGUAUGACUGCAACCAAUGGCCAUGCCUGGACAACCAAUGCGUGACGUAUUCAACGUGCUCGUCUCUCCACACAAAUGCGCCGGAUUCACACAAGGCACAACCCACUCAUACAACUGAUGUUCAUCACCCCUUGUCUCAUACACCAGCAACGGGUUCGUGUUUCCACGAUGGCACAGGUGCGAACCAACAAACUCCACCUGCGACCCAUCCCGUCUACGCUGCUCACGCCUGAACUGCCAAUACAGACCAGAAAACACUUGACCAGACACACCAUUGCUCACGAACGUAGGAUUCACACCUUUUGCAAUGCCUUUCACCACCUUCAGGUUUCCCUGCUCAUCAUACACAAGCGGUGCCAAAUGCUUGAUGUAGUAUGCAGGAUUUCCAUUCGCGUCGUUCACCGUCUCAUACACGGGCAAGCACUUGCUCAGCUGAAUAAGCAGUCGUCGUUGCCACUGCGCCACAAUCUCACUCGACGAUUCAUCCAUGCUGUUAAUGUUCCGCACGGGUCUUGCAAGCAUUCGGUUCGUCCUCGGAUUGCGUUCCCUCACAUACAUAUCAAAAUCACCAUCGUCCUGCCCCAAUGCAUUCAGAACGAUUGGAUCGAUUUGCUGCUCAGGGUUUACGUUCGUCAUCGGUGGCUGAGGCACUCGAAUUGAAAACCGUGGUGGUGGUGUCAAGCUGUACGGCAUAUCAGCUGCGAUCCGAGCUCCAGGACCCAUGCCCAGUCCCCUUCUCCCGAACCUCACACCUCCUACUCUGUUCAAAGGGAAACGAUCAACAUAGCUGGUAUUGGGAUCUCUCUCCUCCAGCAACCGUACUUCACCUGCGCUUAGCCUUCGACUUCGCCCUGGUCCUGGCAUUCGCCCUGCUCCUCUUCGCCCGCUCCCUCUGUGUGCUCUUGAUGCUGAUCUUGAUGCUGACCUUGCUGCUGGUCUUGAUGCUGAUCUUGAUGCUGAUGCAGCCUGAACACGUCGCCUUCUGCUGCUGGAACUUGAACUUGCAGGAGCGUUUGGAUCUCGACGCGUGUCCAUCCUGCGCACAUUGGGAAGCGCAUCCACGUUCACAUCAGAGCGAACCCCGCCGGAUGUCACCGAUGUCGGUGGGUCUCGUGCUGCUGGCACUCUUUCAGGGCGAACCAGGGAAAGCUCUUGCCAUACGGAGCGGGCAUCCCGGCGCACAAUCGUUGGACGAUAAUUGUCCUGGAAAUCAUCAUCGUCAUCAUCAUCAUCAAACUCCCCAUCAUCAUCAUACACAUCGUCUUGCUGGCGACGCGCCAUCUUUCUUCACAUGCAGAAAUAAAUGCACACGACAGUACAUUUUU